AAGAUUUUCAGGUGAUGUGUUCAGUUGUCCAAGACUAGUCUCUACGCAUUCCAGCUCAUAAAGCCUCGAAAAGUCUAAUUUCCGGGGGGUUUUAAGCGACCUGCAUAUGUAUCUUGAAAAAUGUUCAUGGAUGACGCGACUCAAAAAACGAGGGGGAAAGGGAACGGCGUGGAAUUGCUAUUGACGCAGAGGCUGCUACUGUUCGAGAACAGGGAGCACAACCCGGCGAGCUACGAGGACAUGCAAUAGGGUUACAGUCCUCUAAUCUUCAGUUCUCUAGAGCUGCACUUGCCUCCUAACAUGCUCAAUUUGCCGAGUGAUCGUGAAGUCCACCUCCUCAGUGACACUCUCACUCGCUACUCUCCCCAGGGUGAACGCGCUCGCGUAUGCCGCGCCUCCUUCUCCACUUCUUUUAUUCUAUUUAUGAAUUGGAAUUAUCGACUUAAGUAAACUCAGAUUUCAUUCAUUCACUAGUGAUUUAGGGAAACUGAAAGAAAUGUUGUUAUGCUCGUGGCUGUGUUCGGUUUCGUAACGGCAUCGCUCUUUCUAAUGGUUUAUGAAAAUGUUUGCCCUUUAUUUCUAUGAGGCUGAGGAUUGAAUUUGGGAAAAUUGUUCGUGCAAAUCGGGACAGAAUCUCCUUCAUGCACAGGGUUGAUUGCUACUAGCAUGAAUAAUAAUUGGCCUUUCUUUUCCUUCCUCUUUUAUAACUUACAAUUGAUUCUUGCUGAACUCACUUGUAGUUUAGCGGGGAUGUGGGUUUAAGAAGGCCGACAAAAUGGUACAUGAUCAGCAACACCAGUCAUCGUGAUGUGGUUCUUUCAGAGGUUGAGCUUUGAGAUUUUUAUUUAUUUUCUGAAAUGAGUUUUGUGAGGAUAUUAUAUUUUAAACAUCGUGUAAAAUAAAGGCUGACAGAAUGAACUUUUCCUAUCAAUCUUUAAUUACCGAUGAAAAGGAUUGUAUCCAUACAGGUUCAGAAUGUCCUGAACUGCUAACGGUGUGGUGUGAACCAAUGAGUUUCCAGAAAUUUUGAUGCACCUCUCUAGUGCUAGUCGUUGGCCUUAUCAUAUGUUCUGUUGCUUUUCUUUUCUAAAUGGUCAUGCUGUUGUCAGUUGUCACUGAUUUCUGAUGCAAACUGACAGGAUCAAAAGCAUAGAAAAUACAGACAACAUAUUUUAUCAAACUACAAGGUGUAUUUCAUUUUUUGAAUUUUUAUUCUGAAGUAAAAAUUUGAGAAAAAAUUGUUGUGCAUGGGAUACGGUAAUUUUCCUUUUUUUGGCUUCAGGCUCUUUCAGGGUAGUUUCUUUAGCUGAUAUUCAGCAGAAUUGGGUUGCUCUCUUAUGAUAUUUCUUUUUGUUUCAUAUUUUGGAGGAUGACUUGCUCUUAUCUUGGACGUCAUUUUAGUUGUCAACACAAUUUUCUCUUAUCAUUUUUUUUUUCAAUUUAUAAGUGGUGUAUCCUUAUUUACCAGGCUAGUUUAUGGGUUUUUUCACCAUCAGAUUGAUUUUUUUAAUCAUUCCUGGUAUUGUUUUUUAGUAUAAACCUGUGUUCAUGUGCACAGACACUAUAUGAGUGCUUAAGUUUCUCUCACUGCCUAUGUUGUCUAGAGUUUAUGCAGGCACUUGCCCUCUCCUUUCAAACAUGGAAAGGCUUUCAGGAUAGCUGACAUCACAUGCAUUCUCUCAAAACUGAACAACUGCUGUUAAACACUCUACAGUUUCCAUGGCGAUAAGUGUAGAAUUGUUUGCAAAAUUAUAUGAGCAUGGAAUGAUUUGAAUUUUCUUGUUUUGCAUAUAGCAUACAAGCAUUAGUUGUCGUGUUCUUUAGUACACUGAGCUUAUUGGCUAGUUACUUCUUGUCACACCCUUGACAUAAGGAGUUGUAUAAAUAUGAAUGCCACGCAUUUCUUUGGUCCUCCAUUUCUAAAAGCAAUCAGUGAGAACUCAGAAGAGAGUUUAUAAGUUUGAAAUGUUUCAGCCAAGGUUCCGUGAAAUGUUGAUAAAUGAGUUUUUAUUUAUUUCUCUUGUCAUUUGUCGUGUAAAUGACAUGAUCUUCCAUGUAUUUUAGUUUGUGCAUUACAAAGUUCUGAUUGCUUAGGUAGAAAGUAUGGAAAGAUGGGUGUGUGAUAACAGGUUCUAUGUAAUUUGUCUGAACACCAUGAACAAUUUGGUGUUGUUCUUGAUGACUCUGGACUGGAAACCAUGCUCGAAAAGUUGAUGGAUGACUAUAUAUGUCCCAUGUCUAGAGUUUUCCCUCCUCGGGUGGGUGGAUUAACUCUGGAUUCUCACCAUGGUUCUGUGGUUGAAUACGGAGAGCAUAUGGAUAUCGAGCUUGGAAUUUUUUUAUUAUAACCACAUUCCGGGAUGAGCAGUUCUUUGUCAUGGUCGCCAUUGGUCAUGGUGCAAGAGCUACUAUUUCUGGGCACCAGGUCAACUUAGUUAUAUGGUGCAGAAGCACUUUUCAGUUCAGUUUUUCAAGAGCUCUAGAAACAUCCAAAUGAUUUUUCUGCUGGUGCGGAGAUUGUUGACGCGAGAAAAAAGAAAGACAACGCCUGUCAGUUGCUGCAUCGAACUGGAAUCGCUGAAGAGGGAUGGUAUAUCGGCAUCUUGUCAUUAAUUCCUCUCAAGUUUUGCUUGUGAAGUUAUAUGAUAGCAGAAUUCUCACCCUUAAUAUAGUAGUGGCAAUUCUUUCUUUCCUCUUCUUUUUUUCAGUCCUUUUGCUAGGGUUUUGUUGGUGAUAUAUGAAGGGUGCAUGUUUUAUUUUUCUCUCUUUCCAGGUUGGAUAAAUAUGUCUAAUGCAAUGUUGUGUUUGUAGCUUUCAAAAUUGAAAUAUGUAGUAAUCUCUGGUGCGUUGCAAUCAUAUAAGAAGAAAAAUAUUAUAGUUGAAG